rnacentral:rRNA from 1 species
AUUGAACGCUGGCGGCAUGCCUUACACAUGCAAGUCGAACGGCAGCACGGGUGCUUGCCCCUGGUGGCGAGUGGCGAACGGGUGAGUAAUACAUCGGAACAUGUCCUGUAGUGGGGGAUAGCCCGGCGAAAGCCGGAUUAAUACCGCAUACGAUCUACGGAUGAAAGCGGGGGACCUUCGGGCCUCGCGCUAUAGGGUUGGCCGAUGGCUGAUUAGCUAGUUGGUGGGGUAAAGGCCUACCAAGGCGACGAUCAGUAGCUGGUCUGAGAGGACGACCAGCCACACUGGGACUGAGACACGGCCCAGACUCCUACGGGAGGCAGCAGUGGGGAAUUUUGGACAAUGGGCGAAAGCCUGAUCCAGCAAUGCCGCGUGUGUGAAGAAGGCCUUCGGGUUGUAAAGCACUUUUGUCCGGAAAGAAAUCCUUGGCCCUAAUACGGUCGGAGGAUGACGGUACCGGAAGAAUAAGCACCGGCUAACUACGUG